rnacentral:lncRNA from 1 species
UUAAGAGCCAUUUGAAUGCGUUAGAAUCCCUUUGACUGCAAGUGAUAGAAAGCCCAAUUCCAUGGCAUAAGCAAGAAGAUAUUUGUUUCCUCCUGACUAAAAAGUUUGGAAGUAGAUGUAGAACUUUCAAUGGGCCUUAAUUGAAAGAUUUAAAUGUCACCAGGGCCUGUGAUUUCUCUUGUUAGUUAGCUCAUUCGUGUUCUCUCGCUCUCUCUCAUUCUUUUUGCUGGCUUCCCCUCUCACUCUUUUGUUUCAGAUUCAUUCUGUCUAUACCCUAUCUUCAAACAGUUUCUGCCCUAAUUCGUACUGACUUGCACUGAACUGGGCAUUCAGUGCUUUGAUUUUCCAGGCUCGAGUCACAUGAUGGAAUCAAAAUCCCACCAACUAGAUGGAGUGAGUGAGGGAUGGGCAUUCUGGCUGUUCAGUGGAAGAUCAAGGAGGUGUUACACGGAGCAGGAUGAGUAAGCACUGGCUGAUGAACAACACAGAUUGGUGCUGUAUGUAAUCUACUCCCUUAACACCAUAACAUCUACACAGGAAAUUCUGACUGUUAACGCAUGCUUUAAAACAAAACAGGAGGAAUCUGAGAUGUCUGAGGACAGUCAAGCCUUGGAGUUUGUCCUCUGCUGUUGCUGCCUGGUUUCUGGGAAUCCAUGGAAAUAGGAAUUGUGGGUCAAAGGUUAAAGGUGUGAAGAAGAGUUGGGGCCAAUCCUGGAUCUCAGGUGUCAAAGUUUUCAAGCAGCACAGAAAAACAAUAGUGUUUCCUUAGAAAGGAAAGUA